UUCCGGUUGAUCCCGCCGGAAGUCACUGCUAUCGGGGUUCGAUUAAGCCAUGCGAGUCGAGAGGGUUCAGACCCUCGGCGGACUGCUCAGUAACACGUGGAUAAUCUGCCCUAUGGUGGAGGAUAACCCCGGGAAACUGGGGAUAAUACUCCAUAAGUCAGGAGUACUGGAAUGUCUCCUAACUGAAAGUUUCAGCGCCAUAGGAUGAAUCUGCGGCCGAUUAGGUAGUUGUUGGGGUAACGGCUCAACAAGCCCGUAAUCGGUACGGGUUGUGGGAGCAAGAGCCCGGAGAUGGAAUCUGAGACACGAUUCCAGGCCCUACGGGGCGCAGCAGGCGCGAAAACUUUACAAUGCAGGAAACUGUGAUAAGGGAACCCCGAGUGCCCGUACACGCGGGCUGUCCCGGUGUUCAAAACACAUCGGAAGAAAGGGCCGGGCAAGACCGGUGCCAGCCGCCGCGGUAAUACCGGCGGCUCGAGUGGUGACCACUUUUAUUGGGCUUAAAGCGUUCGUAGCUUGAUUUUUAAGUCUCUUGGGAGAUCUCACGGCUUACCUGUGAGGCGUCUAAGAGAUACUGGGAAUCUAGGGACCGGGAGAGGUAAGAGGUACUUCAGGGGUAGAAGUGAAAUUCUGUAAUCCUUGAGGGACCACCGAUGGCGAAGGCAUCUUACCAGAACGGCUUCGACAGUGAGGAACGAAAGCUGGGGGAGCGAACGGGAUUAGAUACCCCGGUAGUCCCAGCCGUAAACUAUGCGCGUUAGGUGUGCCUGUAACUACGAGUUACCGGGGUGCCGAAGUGAAAACGUGAAACGUGCCGCCUGGGAAGUACGGUCGCAAGGCUGAAACUUAAAGGAAUUGGCGGGGGAGCACCACAACGGGUGGAGCCUGCGGUUUAAUUGGAUUCAACGCCGGG
rnacentral:rRNA from 1 species